GACGAACGCUGGCGGCGUGCUUAACACAUGCAAGUCGAACGGUGAAAGGGAGCUUGCUCCCUGGAUCAGUGGCGAACGGGUGAGUAACACGUGGGCAACCUGCCCAGACUUCGGGAUAACGCUUCGAAAGAGGUGCUAAUACCGGAUACGAACUCCAUGGGCAUCCUUGGAGUUGGAAAGUUUUUCGGUCUGGGAUGGGCCCGCGGCCUAUCAGCUUGUUGGUGAGGUAACGGCUCACCAAGGCGACGACGGGUAGCCGGCCUGAGAGGGCGACCGGCCACACUGGGACUGAGACACGGCCCAGACUCCUACGGGAGGCAGCAGUGGGGAAUAUUGCGCAAUGGGCGAAAGCCUGACGCAGCAACGCCGCGUGAGGGAUGACGGC
rnacentral:rRNA from 1 species